GGCCCUUAUGACCAGGGCUACACACGUGCUACAAUGGCCGGUACAAAGAGUUGCGAUACCGCGAGGUGGAGCUAAUCUCAUAAAGCCGGUCUCAGUUCGGAUUGGAGUCUGCAACUCGACUCCAUGAAGUUGGAAUCGCUAGUAAUCGCGGAUCAGCAUGCCGCGGUGAAUACGUUCCCGGGCCUU
rnacentral:rRNA from 1 species